ACGCGCGCCGCGGCAUUUAUCUCGGCGCAUACGUGCACGUAUGCUCGGCACGAAACUCGGAUACGUAGUAUUUCUUCGGAUGUGCCACGCAACCACUUCGUAAUUGAUACUGGAUCCGAUAGAACCCGCCGCUUAUCGCGGGUUUCAUUUUAAGUUGAAGGAAACGUAGUUGUGUGAACUUGGAAUGGCAUGAAGAAUUUUGUAUGGAUUAUUUGGCGCAAUACUAUUCUUCUUACUGUCUCUUAUCUGGCCGUGCUGCAUAUCCAUUGGAACAUUUUGAAGCUGAUAGACGCUUGUAAAUUCUACGAAGCUGGAAAAUAGAAACUAGGAAACAGAAAAUUUCCAUUCCGAUUAUCUUAACGUCCUGAAGCAAAAAAAAAAAACGUAUCAGCGUUUUAUAAAGGGGCGGUAAUUCAAGCGAGGGAUUAAAAGAAACAUUUUCAGCGGCGUUUUUCAAGCUAUCGCGGCCGAAGGAAGGAAACAAAAAAGAACACGAUAGGAAGGUUGAAGAAACGAAAAAUUGCAGGAUACUAUUUUUCACUAGCGGACAAAUGUUUCGACUCGGUGAAGUCACGGUAUGAUCGUAUUUACGGUGAGUAAGUAACGAGCUAGCUCGUAUUUCUCUGUGUCGUCGGUAGAAAUAAAUUUCAAAAAAUUACUUCUACGGCUGUACGUCCUGAAAAACGCAUCGUCGCGUGUUUUCACAAACUGAGUGAAAAAAAGAUGCAAAAAAAUGGGAGAGGUGGAAAAAAAUGUCAGGGUUUCAAUAAAUAUAUAUCGACGAAAA